rnacentral:rRNA from 1 species
GCUGGGUGGAUUAGUGGCGAACGGGUGAGUAACACGUGAGUAACCUGCCCUUGACUCUGGGAUAAGCGUUGGAAACGACGUCUAAUACCGGAUACGAGCUUCCACCGCAUGGUGAGUUGCUGGAAAGAAUUUUGGUCAAGGAUGGACUCGCGGCCUAUCAGCUUGUUGGUGAGGUAAUGGCUCACCAAGGCGACGACGGGUAGCCGGCCUGAGAGGGUGACCGGCCACACUGGGACUGAGACACGGCCCAGACUCCUACGGGAGGCAGCAGUGGGGAAUAUUGCACAAUGGGCGAAAGCCUGAUGCAGCAACGCCGCGUGAGGGACGACGGCCUUCGGGUUGUAAACCUCUUUUAGCAGGGAAGAAGCGAAAGUGACGGUACCUGCAGAAAAAGCACCGGCUAACUACGUGCCAGCAGCCGCGGUAAUACGUAGGGUGCAAGCGUUGUCCGGAAUUAUUGGGCGUAAAGAGCUCGUAGGCGGUUUGUCGCGUCUGCUGUGAAAUCCCGAGGCUCAACCUCGGGUCUGCAGUGGGUACGGGCAGACUAGAGUGCGGUAGGGGAGAUUGGAAUUCCUGGUGUAGCGGUGGAAUGCGCAGAUAUCAGGAGGAACACCGAUGGCGAAGGCAGAUCUCUGGGCCGCUACUGACGCUGAGGAGCGAAAGGGUGGGGAGCAAACAGGCUUAGAUACCCUGGUAGUCCACCCCGUAAACGUUGGGCGCUAGAUGUGGGGACCAUUCCACGGUUUCCGUGUCGUAGCUAACGCAUUAAGCGCCCCGCCUGGGGAGUACGGCCGCAAGGCUAAAACUCAAAGGAAUUGACGGGGGCCCGCACAAGCGGCGGAGCAUGCGGAUUAAUUCGAUGCAACGCGAAGAACCUUACCAAGGCUUGACAUAUACGAGAACGGGCCAGAAAUGGUCAACUCUUUGGACACUCGUAAACAGGUGGUGCAUGGUUGUCGUCAGCUCGUGUCGUGAGAUGUUGGGUUAAGUCCCGCAACGAGCGCAACCCUCGUUCUAUGUUGCCAGCACGUAAUGGUGGGAACUCAUGGGAUACUGCCGGGGUCAACUCGGAGGAAGGUGGGGACGACGUCAAAUCAUCAUGCCCCUUAUGUCUUGGGCUUCACGCAUGCUACAAUGGCCAGUACAAAGGGCUGCAAUACCGUAAGGUGGAGCGAAUCCCAAAAAGCUGGUCCCAGUUCGGAUUGAGGUCUGCAACUCGACCUCAUGAAGUCGGAGUCGCUAGUAAUCGCAGAUCAGCAACGCUGCGGUGAAUACGUUCCCGGGCCUUGUACACACCGCCCGUCAAGUCAUGAAAGUCGGUAACACCCGAAGCCAGUGGCC